GCAGAUGUGGUGGAAUUGGUAGACACGCUAGCUUCAGGUGCUAGUGCCCUCACGGGCGUGGGAGUUCGAGUCUCCCCAUCUGCA
rnacentral:tRNA from 2 species